AUGAAGAACAAAAGCGAUGGUCGCAGACGCAAUAAAUCAGCUCACAACGAAGCCGCUGCUGGCAACAAGAAUGGUCGACGCAGGCGGAAUGUAAGUGUGCCUGGUGAUUGUCCUUCACCUAAGGUUCAUCCUCAAAAGGGUUAUAAUUCGUUGUUCCGACUAAAUGCAAUGCAGAAAUCAGGUCGUAACGGAGCAACUGCUGAUGACGGAGACAGGCUUAGCAAUCUGCCUAAUGACCUUCUGCUCAACAUUUUGGAGAGGGUGGACACACUCGAUGCUAUAAGGACCUGCAUCCUCUCCAGGCAAAUGCUGAAGCUCCCCACCAUGCUCUCGCGCUUCUACCUAAGUGUUAGUUCCAUUCCAGGUCACCAUCAGAAACCACCUCGCGUUUUCACCCAAAGGGAAGGGCUUGCAACCAACUGUGCCGUGGCUCAUGUAACUGAUAACAUCUUGCGCACAAGGAGCCCGAAGAUCACCAUUACUAAACUCAAAAUCAGAUUCGUCUUGGUGAAACUUGACUCUCUCACCAUUGCCAAAUCGGUUGCCCACGCCAUGGCAACCCAGAAGGUUGAUGCUGCUGAGUUCGAGAUUGUAACGGAGAAGCGUUAUAACCUGUGCUCCUCUGCUGAUCUCCUCCGCUUUGCGAAUCAGUUCAAUGAUUUAUUUGGUGCUUGUCCGCAUGCAUUUGCUGGCCUUACGCGCCUGUGGCUGGAAAAUAUGAGGUUUGGUAAACUGGACAUUCCCAAUAUCCUCAGCACUUGCAAGCUCUUGGAGUAUUUGCGUUUAACCGAUUGUGACUCAGGAAUCCAUUCUGUGCUGCAAGUAGAACACACCCAACUUGUUGAGCUCGAGAUCGAUCAUGGGAAAUUUCAGAGAGUUGAGCUGAUAUGUCUACCAAAACUCCAACGGUUGACCUAUAAUAAUUGGUUCUCUUAUGAGGAUCCAAUGUAUUUUGGUUUUCUACCACAGCUUUCAAAGCUGAGCCUUAUUAAAACUGCCAUCCGUUUGGACAAGAGUCUCGAAUUAAGUCAGCUCCUUGCCAACGUUCCUUCCGUAGGUGAUCUGCAUCUGGAUUUUAGAAGUGAAAAGAUCUGGGUUCUACCAGAAUGCCCGAAACUGCUCACGCCUAUGCUCAGCAAUCUACAACAUGUGAAUCUAGACAAUCUCCCUGAAGGGUGUGAUUUAGCUUGGACAAUGUUUAUUCUUGAAGCUGCACCCUCCCUAAACGAGCUGUGCAUCACAGUAUGGGAUCAUCGGUGCACAAUGAUGACAAACAAAGAGUUUCGGAAGAAAUAUGGUUACUGCGAAAAGGCAGACGUGAAGUGGAAGCCAUAUGCCCUGGAUUUCAAGCACAAGAAUCUGGCUAAGCUCACCAUCUAUGGCUUUCAAACCGAUGACAAUUUUAUGCGAGACAUCAGGUGUGUCGUGGAACAUGCGAUUAAUAUAACAGAGAUAUCUCUAUAUGACAGGAAGGUGUGUGGGCACUGUGGUGACUUGGAUCCUGUGAUCAAGAACAUGAUUUGUCCUUCAAGAUAUCCAGAGACAGACGAGGAGAGGAAGCAGAUAACCGAGGGGUUGGGUUUGGCUUCUCGUGCUGUGGUUCACUUCCGGUCCUAA
rnacentral:rRNA from 1 species